rnacentral:misc_RNA from 1 species
GACAGAAUUCAUUUAAUUAUAUUAUUUAGAACAAUUGAUAAUAUAUAUGAAAGAUACAAAGGAUGGAGUGAAAAGGGAAAAUUCUUGUAACAAGUUCACUAAAUAUAACGAACAACUCGAGGCUAAGCUUCAUCCGGCUGUUCUUCGAACACAUGCACCUAAUUCUCCUUUCUAAUUUAUUUGCUUGUUUGCCAGAACUGCAAGCAGUUUUUGGAAGUUCUGAUAAGAGGAACCACCAGGCCUUGUUGCCUCUUCAGCUUUUUCCUUCAACUUCAUUACGCUCUUUUUCAUUUCUUUUCCUUCUUCUCCCUCCAUUAACUUUCUCACCAGGUUUUCCACUUCAUCUCUCUUUGCAUCAUUAUUUAUCUCCAUACCAAUACCCCACUUAUUGCAAGCAAACCAACAAUUUGUCUGCUGCUCUGCAAAAAAUGGCCAACAAAGCAAAGGCACUCCAGCAGACACACUUUCGAUGGUUGAAUUCCAUCCCAUAUGACUUAAAAACCCUCCAAUUGAUGGAUGUUUCAAGACUUCUUCCUGUGGACACCAACCUGCUAAUAAAAUACCCCUCUCCUUCGUUUCAGCCACAAAUUCUGAUAACAGAACCACAGAGUCACCGGUGACAAGAUCAGGUCUUGCUAUCCACAGGAAAGGCUUGUUGCUGUUGGCUAGUCCCCAAGCAAAUUCAGCGAGUUGAAAAGGCGUCAUUACUGCUAUACUGCCAAAAUUUACAUAAACCACAGAACCAGGCUCCUGUGAGUCAAGCCAUUUAAUACACUCAGAAUCUACCUUCCAUAGAUUUGAACCAAAAUUUGCUAGUUCUUCAUGAUAAUCUGAAAUCUGAUGAGAUAGCAACUCAUGAAGAGGGCCAAUGCUGUAAACAAGAGGAAACAUUGAAGAAAGAACAUCUAAAACAUCUUGUUCCAGGGCAUCGAAUGUGUUUAAAAUGAGCGCUGAAGCUCUGGGAACUUUUGAUAUCUCAUUCGGGACAAAGUUGAGCAUGAUUUCAUUUGGGUCUGUAGUUCUAAUGAAAGAUGGGAGAUCCUUCAGCCGGAUAUUUUUCAUGCCUGGAAUCCAAUCUAUGGUAGUUUCUAGGUACCCAUUUGUUAGAUAGCUGGUAUCUUUGAGAGGUAUAAAGCCUCUUUCAACAAGAAAAGGGUAGUGGGCGUAGGCCAAAACACCACAGGCACUUGGCGUCCAGAAGAGUACUUGAGGAAUUCCAAGCUCUUCAGCUGCUUCAAGAGUGAAGGACAUUGAACCAUCAGAAACAAUACAGCUCACUGGGGAAACAUUGGAAGAAGAAGAAGUGUUAUUGAGUCUGUAAAGUAGAUUGCGAAAUGGGACUAAGCAGUUCUUGGAGGUGGAUUCACAAAGAGAAGGGAUAUCUUGGGUGGUGUUAUCAUUAUCCGUCACCGGGAGGCCAUCGGGGAUAGCUUCAAAGCGAAAAUCCGGCAAGCCAGGGACAGAGUUGGGGCCUCUGGAUUUGAGUAAACGUUUUUGGUUGUACUCAGUAUUGACAAAGGUGAUAUGGAAGCCUUUGAAGUGGAGGAGUUUUGCCAGCUUGAACAUAGGGUUUAUAUGACCUUGGGCUGGGUAUGGGACGCAUACAGCAUGAGGUUUAUGAUCAGCUACUAGAUUGAAACCCAUCCCUUGUCUCUCUAUGUGUGUGAAAAUGCAGAUGGAGAACUAUAGCUAGAUUCUGAAGGGAAAGAUAGAGGGAGAGAUCGAGAGAGGUCGUG